AGGAACUUGACGGGGUGAAGAAAACCACGCACAUCUGCUUUGUAAUAAUUCACGUAAAAGUACUUAAAAAAAAAAAAAAACAGGUAGAGAUUAUUUAUAAAUCUCAGACUGAGUAGAGGUUUAAACAGAAACAAUGAGAGCUGCAUCAGGGUUAUCAGCUUUGCUGCUAUUUUUCGCUUUUGUUACCGCAGCUGGGACAAGCACAAGUCCUGCAACAGGACAAACGCAGGUACCAACAACCUCUGUGCCUGUGACAGUAACUGGAGCACCAACAACCACCGCAGGCACAACAAUGACUGCAGGUGCUACAACAAUUAAAGUUGAGACAACAAACACAGUUGCAACAACAACUGCAGGUCCCACAACGACAGGAGGUACGACGGAGACCACAGGUGUGACGAUGACUGUUGGCGUGAAAACAACCGCAAGCCAGACAAACACCAUAGCUGCGACAACAACUGGAAGCGUGACAAUGACUCAAGGGCCCACAGCAACUGAGAGUUCCACAACAACCGAUGGUGCUACAACGGAGAAAGGUGCCACAACAUCUGAAGACGUGACUACAACUGGAGGUGCCACAUCAGCUGGAUUGGCAACAACAAUCAUAGGUGCCACAACAACAGGAGGAGCGACAAAAACCGGAGGGACAACAAUGACACCAGGUUCCACAACAAUUGGAGUACAAACAAACAACGUUGCAACAACAAGUGCAGGUGCCACAACAACUGGAGGUCCCACAACGACAGGAGGUACGACGGAGACCACAGAUGUGACGAUGACUGUUGGCGUGAAAACAACCGCAACCCAGACAAACACCAUAGCUGCGACAACAACUGGAAGCGUGACAAUGACUCAAGGGCCCACAGCAACUGAGAGUUCCACAACAACCGAUGGUGCUACAACGGAGAAAGGUGCCACAACAUCUGAAGAC